rnacentral:lncRNA from 1 species
UGUUCCACAAUAACUUUAAAUAAUUUUACCUGCAUUAACAGGAUUUAAUUGCUUUGACAAACAUCUUUGACUUCCAACACUUUUUCAAUAACAUUUCUAGGUACUUAGGUAGGUACCUACUUCCUUUGAAAUGGUAAUAUUGUAGUUAUUUACUUUCAGGUCAAUUAUUAACCUUGUGUUUAUGUUGUAAUCUGAAAUCAGCUCUACAAAAAGAAACAAACAUUUGAAUUUUGUUACUUAUAGGUGUAGUGUGUCAAUUGUAAAGUAAAAAUGAGACUUACCUUUCAUUAUUAUUUAUUAAGUACUUCUUCACCAAAUACAUUAUAAAAAGCCAUUUUCCAUUUUUAAAUAUUUAUCUCCAGUAUAAUACAAGAAUAACAAACUACUAUUCAUACAAACAUAACCCAA